GGUUCACAGGCCCCCUUUGUUUUUCGCCGCCAAUUUCCCCCUGGCGAUCCCAUAAUACAUUGUAUUAUUUGCAAAUACAAUGUAUUAUGGGAUCGCCAAGGGGCAAUUGGCCACGAAAAACAAAGGGGGCCUGCAAACC
rnacentral:miRNA from 1 species